AUUGAACGCUGGCGGCAGGCCUAACACAUGCAAGUCGAGCGGAUGAAGGGAGCUUUCUCCUGGAUUCAGCGGCGGACGGGUGAGUAAUGCCUAGGAAGCUGCCUUGUAGUGGGGGAUAACGUCCGGAAACGGGCGCUAAUACCGCAUACGUCCUGAGGGAGAAAGUGGUGGAUCUUCGAACCUCACGCUAUCAGAUUAGCCUAGGUCGGAUUAGCUAGUUGGUGGGGUAAAGGCCUACCAAGGCGACGAUCCGUAACUGGUCUGAGAGGAUGAUCAGUCACACUGGAACUGAGACACGGUCCAGACUCCUACGGGAGGCAGCAGUGGGGAAUAUUGGACAAUGGGCGAAAGCCUGAUGCAGCCAUGCCGCGUGUGUGAAGAAGGUCUUCGGAUUGUAAAGCACUUUAAGUUGGGAGGAAGGGCAGUAAGUUAAUACCUUGCUGUUUUGACGUUACCAAAAGAAUAAGCACCGGCUAACUUCGUG
rnacentral:rRNA from 1 species